rnacentral:ncRNA from 2 species
AAUUAUAGUCUCGGCGAUGGUUCUCCGGCACGGAGAUUAAAAGGGAACGCAGUACGGCCUUAGGGCGAUGCUUCGAGGCCAAUUCUGCGGCUGCCCCCGCAACUGUAGGCAGCCUGCAACAUCCGCCGGACGUCACUGGNNNNNNNNCGAGUCAGGAGACCUGCCAUCCGACGCGGGCCUAA